GAUUAGCACGUCUUUAGCACAACAGAAGGUUCGGUUGGCAGGAGUCUGAAGACUGGACGAGAUGGUGUCACUUGAGCUCUAUGGAGAUUUAAUAAGAGAUAUUAUUGCUCUAAACCUCUCGCACGCGGACAUUUCCACGAAUUUAUCACAAUUAGGUGUGCAGCGAUGUUCUGAAAUGAGUGUCAGGAGAUUUUGUACGCGUCACAACAUUUCCAGGAGGGGACAUGUAUCCGACACACAAUUAGAAGUUGCUAUCAGCAGGGCAAUAAAUCAGACAGGGUCAACAUAUGGUUGAAAGAUGAUGACCAGGUAUCUGUCUGCGAUGGGAGUGGUUGCUGGUGAACGCCUGGUACGGAGGAUUUUGAGAACAACGCAUUGUCCUUAUCACGAAAUGCACAAACAUGUCCCUCUCUAUCUCCCCACACAUCCACCAACCACUGGAACACAUCUCCAAAGUUCUGCCGGGCCAGCUCAGCUUCCCCUCAGAAGAAGUGCCGCCACCUGCCAGAUGAAGGAGCCUUUUGAGAGGCAGCUGGCAUCGUGAUUGGACUGUACUUUGGUCUGUUCCAAUCCAGCUUCAGCUCCAGAGACGGCAGGCGGGACGAGUCAACGGAGGCCGGGUGGACGAAGGCAUGCAGCUGAGUCGAAAAAAAAAAUGAGAUUUUUCAACAUGUUGUAAAAACGUGCCAUAUGAUGAAAUACUGUAAAGCAGGCCGUGAAAAACACUCCAGAAAGGUUUCUUUGAAAAAAUAAUCAUCAUGAAUUUUGGCGCAAAAAAAAACGCCAUAGUAUACUAUGUCGAAAAAUGCCAUUUUUCAACGUUGUGAAAACAUGCCAUAUGAUGAAAUAAUGUAAAGCAGGCUGCGAAAAAAACUCCAGAAAGGUUUUCUUUGAAAAAAAAAUCAUCAUGAAUUUUGGCGCAAAAAACGCCAUCGUAUACUAUGUCAAAAAAAAUGUGAUUUUUCAACAUGUAAAAACGUGCCAUAUGAUGAAAUAAUGUAAAGGAGGCCGUGAAAAACACUCCAGAAAGGUUUUCUUUGAAAAAAAAUCAUCAUGAAUUUUGGCACAAAAAUCGCCAUAGUAUACUAUGUCGAAAAAAAAUGCCAUUUUUCAACAUGUUCUAAAAACGUGCCAUAUGAUGAAAUAAUGUAAAGGAGGCCGUGAAAAACACUAUGGUAAGGUUCUCUUUGAAAAAAAAAUCAUCAUGAAUUUUGGCGCAAAAAAAAACGCCAUAGUAUACUAUGUCGAAAAAAAAUGCCAUUUUUCAACAUGUUGUGAAAACAUGCCAUAUGAUGAAAUAAUGUAAAGGAGGCUGUGAAAAACACUCAUGGUAAGGUUCUCUUUGAAAAAAAAAUCAUCAUGAAUUUUGGCACAAAAAAAACGCCGUAGUAUACUAUGUCGGAAAAAAAAUGCGAUUUUUCAACAUGUAAAAACGUGCCAUAUGAUGAAGUAAUGUAAAGGAGGCAGUGAAAAACACUCCAGAAAUGUUUUCUUUGAAAAAAAUAAUCAUCAUGGAUUUUGGCGCAAAAAAACGCCAUAGUAUACUAUGUCGAAAAAUGUCAUUUUUCAACACUAAAUCUUCUUGAAAAAUAUGUUUUACUGAAGUCCACCUGUUUCAGCCAUCUCUACCCCUCAUUAGGUGCCACUCUAACCUACAUUAUACAAAAAAAGUCCAGUAGAUGUCACUGUGUUUUGAAAUAGCAUGCAGAGCAAGUUAGUCUGCUCACAGGAAGUUAGCAUGAACAAAAUCACUCCUCACAUGAGGCCUCUGUUUGCUGUGAUUUUCAAAGAUAAAGUAAUACUUUUGACAUAUUAUGGUGCCUAAGGAGUUGCUGAACACAAAUGUGUCAUUUGAAAUGUAAAAAAACAAAGAUUUAAAAGGGUAAAAUAAUUUUUCUCAACCGUUUGGUAGAGGUCAAUAUUUUAAAAAUCGCUGGGUCACUUCAUAAAAAAACCAUUGAUUGUUGUUAUUAGUGCCCCAAAGAGAUAAGAAAUAUAAAGAAAUAAUUUUUUCAUUGCCUUAUUCUUGGUGAGGAUGUUAAAGUGUUAACAUCUGUAAACAAAACAAAAACGUAUCAACAAAGUUUUCUGUUAGAGUUUGUGUUCUUCUAAGUGUAACUCCAAGAUUUUAAAUACUUUCAUUUACUGCAAAUGAAUAUCUACUCCAAGUGUCUCACUAAUAAUCAUUAUCAGCCUUAAAAACCCACAAAACACCCCUCUGUACUCCACCACACUUAGUACAGUCCAGUUCCCCCUUCUAUAAAUCUGCUUGGAAUCUUCCACUUCCUGUUUGUCAAAGUGGCCUUCUACCUGGACAGGUUUUGUUGGAGCUCAUGCAACAAACAUUUUGGGUAACUGCACUUUAAUAUGGAUGGAUGACACUGAAUUAGAGUCUGUUUUCAUGAGACUGAGUUAAGAUGUGUAGCUGUCAUUCAGUAAGAAAUUAUUUCUCAGAAUUCACAGAGAAAAGUCUGAAAUGUUUGCUAGGUUAGCGUCCGACAUGUUCUUUGGCUCAGCUAAAGCUAACUCUCUCCAAUUUCUGGAUCUCUUGAGUUGCUUGUUGUUAAAAUAUCUUGCUACAGGUGCUGAAGCUCAGAGAGUCUGAGGUGUUUGUACAAAAUAAGCUCAUUCUCAAGUCUGAUCUGAACUGUCCUCUUUUGUUUGAACUUUCCCUAAACUUAGGAGUUAAUGACAGAGCAGCACAUCCAGACUCAGUCUCAUUUAUGUAGAGAUUAAACUUCAGUGUCAUUCAUUGAUGUUAAAGUGCAGUUUUUCAAAUGUUUGUUGCACAUGCUCCCGACCAAACCAGUCCAGGUGGGAGACGAUGUGAAGAGAAAGCUCCAGAGGAUUAAUAUCAAACAUUUAUGUUGGAAAUAAAUGUCCUUUAAUUAGAUAUUGUCAUGCAAAAGUUGUGUUUUGUUGAUGUUGGUUUCUAAAUGUUUUCUGACACUCGGCCCCAAAGAUUAAAACCUUCUACGGCUCACAAGCUGCAACAAUUCACACAUUAUCAACUAUCUUUCUGACUAAACUAAGAUAAAAAGUGAAAAACC